rnacentral:rRNA from 1 species
GACGAACGCUGGCGGCGUGCUUAACACAUGCAAGUCGAACGGAAAGGCCCUGCUUUUGUGGGGUGCUCGAGUGGCGAACGGGUGAGUAACACGUGAGUAACCUGCCCUUGACUUUGGGAUAACUUCAGGAAACUGGGGCUAAUACCGGAUAGGAGCUCCUGUUGCAUUGUGGGGGUUGGAAAGUUUCGGCGGUUGGGGAUGGACUCGCGGCUUAUCAGCUUGUUGGUUGGGUAGUGGCUUACCAAGGCUUUGACGGGUCGCCGGCCUGAGAGGGUGACCGGCCACAUUGGGACUGAGGUACGGACCAGACUGCUACGGGAGGCAGCAGUGGGGAAUAUUGCACAAUGGGCGGAAGCCUGAUGCAGCGACGCCGCGUGCGGGAUGACGGCCUUCGGGUUGUGAACCGCUUUCGCCUGUGACGAAGCGUGAGUGACGGUAAUGGGUAAAGAAGCACCGGCUAACUACGUG